rnacentral:lncRNA from 1 species
AUUAUAAUUUGAAAUAUGUGUUAUUUCAGCCAAUGAUUAAUACUAAAAAACUUAUCACCCAUAUAACUUUUUAAUUUGUGUGUAGGGUAAUAAUAAAAUUGAAAAUAAUUAAAAAAAUAGCACAAUAAUACUUUGAGUUUUAACAAUAAAACAAAUCAAAUGAAAAUUGAGAAUUUAGAAAAGUGUAUCUAAAAAAAAAAGGCAUUUUUGGAAAUAAAAAAAUAAUUAGAAAGGAGGUUUUAUGAAGAAAUCAGAGGGUUGCCAAUAGUAUAACUCCAAAUAAUUUGAUGGUAACAUCAUUUGCCAUCAAAUGACAACUGUGUAGAGUAAUAUCUGAAAUACAAGUGUGCAACCCAAGAGGGGGGGGUGAAUUGAGAUUCUAAAAAUUAUUUGAUUCUAAAAAAAAUUAUCAUGCAAAUUUAAAAUGAAUUUAAUAGAAUAACAAUUAAAUCAAUUACAAUAUAAAAAGAUAAGGGAAGAGAGAUUCAAACACGAAGAUUUUUACGUAGUUCGGCCAACCUCGCCUACGUCCACGUCUCCAUGCUUUCCGGGCUUGAGGAUUUCACUAAGUAAGUCUCCAAGGCUUUAAAUACUUACACUUGACUUCCAAAGUGUCAAUGAACCUUUACAACAAGAGAUUAUCUCCAAUCUCUUAACCCAAAUGUAUUCCAACACUUACAAUCACUCAAAGUAAAAGAUUAAAAAUUAUUUUUCUCUCACACAAUAUUUAAGAUUACAAAUCAAUGCCCAAUGUGUGAAUAGAUGAAGUAAGAAUAUGUUUUAAAGUUCUAUGAAGAUUGUAUUAUCAAAUAUAAGCUCAAUGGUCGUGUUGUAAUCAAUCUUAUUUGAAUUUGAAUGAGUUUAUUUAUAGUUGGAGUUGAAAAACUAGCCGUUAUAGAUUGUCUGCUUGAAAACGGUUCGCCGUUAACCAUUAACGGUUAACCGUUUAGGUUGGUCAAAGUUACCGUUGGACCAAUUUUUAAAUAAACGGUUUGCCGUUUAGGAUUACCCUUUUGCCGUUAAAUUUCCAGAGACCUGCAAGAUAAACAUAAGUUAUUCGUUUACAUUAAACGAUUAAGGAUUUGCAUGAAAUGACCUAUUUGGAAUUUUAUCGGUUAGUCGUUUGUAAUAAACGGUCGCCAUUUGUAAUAAACGGUUCACCGUUUGUUUCCAGUAACCUGUAGAAUAAGUUAGCCUUAUCCAUUUCAGUUAAACUUUUACCGUUUGUUUCCAGUAACAAGAUGAACACAGUUUUUCAUUCUGGAUUUUAUCGGUUAACCGUUUCAAUAAACGGUUCACGGUUUAAUUCCAGUUGCCUUCUCACCAUUUUGUGUUUUCCGUUUUUGUUAACCGAUUAGAGCUUAAGCAAUUCGUUACUCUCUGGAUUUAAUCGGUUAGCCGUUAAAAAUAAACGGUUCACCGUUUAUUUCCAGAAUCAUAGUUUUAGCCAGAUAUUGCAGAGAAUCAUUUUCCAAUUUCAAGUUUAACAGUUAUCCAACUUUUAUAAAUAUAAUUGAAAUGAUUAUAAGGUUUUCGUUUAUUAAUGAAUAGUUCCAACAUUUUAAUAAAAAAUAUUUAAAGUUUGUUAUCAUCAAAAUCAAUAUCAUGAAUAUAUACAUGUUAACAAUGUCCAUUUAUGGGUUAACUAAAUUUGAACUAUGCUUAAAUGCUU